rnacentral:rRNA from 1 species
UACAGAGGUCUCAAGCGUUGUUCGGAUUCAUUGGGCGUAAAGGGUGCGUAGGUGGCGCGGUAAGUCGGGUGUGAAAUCUCGGAGCUUAACUCCGAAAUUGCAUUCGAUACUGCCGUGCUUGAGGACUGGAGAGGAGACUGGAAUUCAUGGUGUAGCAGUGAAAUGCGUAGAGAUCAUGAGGAAGACCAGUGGCGAAGGCGGGUCUCUGGACAGUUCCUGACGCUGAGGCACGAAGGUCAGGGGAGCAAACGGG